rnacentral:sRNA from 1 species
AAAGACUAAAAUGAAAUAUAAGAAAGAUUUUAAGGGUAUUUGAGGUUGUACUAUUCACACCCUAAAAAAAUAAAGGGUUGAGGGCUUGUUAGAGUUCAAAAAGCCCUCAAAUUUAAGGAUUUGAGGUGUUGUUGAAGGGUUGCACACGCUUCUCUUCCUUCAUUCUCAGUAGGUUACCGUCCUUGGAACCAAUGCCUAAGAUUUGCCCUUGCGGUCUGGCCUUAGUCUAAAGACUUAUAAACUGUUUGAUUUCAUUUUGAAUUUACUAAACACAAUCGAACUAAACAAAUAAAACGUACUA